UAGUGGCGAACGGGUGAGUAACACGUGGGCAAUCUGCCCUUCACUCUGGGACAAGCCCUGGAAACGGGGUCUAAUACCGGAUAACACCUGCCCGGGCAUCUGGGUGGGUUAAAAGCUCCGGCGGUGAAGGAUGAGCCCGCGGCCUAUCAGCUUGUUGGUGAGGUAGUGGCUCACCAAGGCGACGACGGGUAGCCGGCCUGAGAGGGCGACCGGCCACACUGGGACUGAGACACGGCCCAGACUCCUACGGGAGGCAGCAGUGGGGAAUAUUGCACAAUGGGCGAAAGCCUGAUGCAGCGACGCCGCGUGAGGGAUGACGGCCUUCGGGUUGUAAACCUCUUUCAGCAGGGAAGAAGCGAAAGUGACGGUACCUGCAGAAGAAGCGCCGGCUAACUACGUGCCAGCAGCCGCGGUANUACCGUAGGGCGCAAGCCGUUGUCCGGAAUUAUUGGGCGUAAAGAGCUCGUAGGCGGCUUGUCACGUCGGGUGUGAAAGCCCGGGGCUUAACCCCGGGUCUGCAUUCGAUACGGGCUAGCUAGAGUGUGGNAGGGGNAGAUCGGAAUUCCU
rnacentral:rRNA from 1 species